rnacentral:misc_RNA from 1 species
GAUGAAGAACGCAGUGAAAUGCGAUAAGUAGUGUGAAUUGCAGAAUUCAGUGAAUCAUCGAAUCUUUGAACGCACAUUGCGCCCGCUAGUAUUCUGGCGGGCAUGCCUGUUCGAGCGUCAUUUCAACCAUCAAGCCCCUUAGCUUGUGUUGGGGACCUGCGGCUGCCGCAGCCCCCGAAAUGCAGUGGCGGGCUCGUUGUCACACCGAGUGCAGUAAUCAUUCUUCUCUCCGGGCGUGGCGGCGGGUUCCGGCCGUAAAAUCACCAAUUUAUCAAGGUUGACCUCGGAUCAGGUAGGAAUACCCGCUGAACUUAAGCAUAUCAAUAAGCGGAGGA